UUUCGCUCAGUCGUCGACUCCUGUUAAUAAAGCGAAACUGCGACGCAGUAAGACGGAACAGUUUUGGCCCUAGCAAAGAGAAAAAGUGUUUUCAUUUUCCGCUGCAACAAAGAUUAUUUUCCAAGAAAUUGUGCAACAAAUUGAGCCAUAAGCGAAAACCAAAGAACCAGUCGCUGGGCUUUUGUGUGUGUGUUAAAAGCGCGUCAGAAACAGUUGGGCAGUCGAAAAGUUUCCAGCCCCAGCUGCAUAGUAGCCGAGAAAAACACACGCGCUAACCGUUAAUUAGUUUUCCCCCUCACCGCUGAAUCUUUAAUUCGAGGACAGUCCGGGGACCUGCUGCUAAUUAAGCCUGGGACUUACCAACAACGCAGUAGCGAAAGAGCGAGGCUGGAGGAUGCAUUAACCAGGUGGCAGCCGCGAGGAGGUGCCACAACUCGUAAAUAUUUGAAGACGCACUAGAAUUCACCCUUGGCGGAAGCUUCACCAUCUUCCUCCUCUUUUUGCAAUUUUAAUUUUUUGUGCAUUAUAUACAUAUGUACAUACAUACAAACAUACAUACUCGUAUGUACUUAAUUUUUGCCACUCGAAGGCGGCAACGGUUGCCGCACGAAAGUGCCGAGUACUCGAAAGUUUCUGCUCAGUAGAGUAUUUUUAAUGAUGCACUAAACGAUCAGCCGAGAAGACCGAGAGGUGUUCAUCCAUAUACUGCUAGUAUUAUGUAUAGUUCAGGGAAAAACCAGUCCCAGUUAGUAGACGCCAUACAAGUGCUUCCGAUCACUCUGCUCAUAUCAUAUAUGUAUGUGUGAUCGUACUCUGAUGGUGACGGCUGAGUACAGAAUAGUGGGAGGAGGAACAUCACCCUGUAUUAUUUAAAAAAAUUACGUGUAAAAUGAAUCAAGUUUCUGGCUGAAAAAGCAGUAUUAACUAAGUUACAGAUUAGUUCCACUAGUCACAGACAAUACUUGCUUCAUCAGAAAUUCUGAUUCAGAAUCGUUUGUCUGGAUUUGCUUUUGAAACGAUGUCGAACAUGAAACUGCUGGCGAUCUUGCUCGCGAUUUCCUUUGCCCUGUUGGAGGCGAUAAGUCCCGAUUGCGUUGGCAAACCCUUUGGCACGGGGGAUUGUGACAGGAGGCACGCCGUCUUCUACUACGACGACUCAACGGAACGAUGUGAAAGGACCGUAUUAAAUUGCAUCGCAUUUGGUUCAAAUAGAUAUAAGACUCAGGAAUUAUGUGAGGCACACUGCAAGACACCGCUUUAUCUUCAUGUAUUUGACGCAGGCUUAAAUGCAAAAGUUGGAACGAUUCUAUAAUUCAAUUUAUAUAAACAAUUAGUCGCUGAUGAUAAUGUAACCAUUGAAAUUGGUCUCGCAAAAUUGUGUCUAAAUACAUAUUUCAAUGACUAA
rnacentral:sRNA from 1 species